rnacentral:lncRNA from 1 species
GACUGGAGCUAGAAGGGGGCAGGGAAAUGGGACGAUGACCAGAUGUGGCCCAUGGCAAGGCCGUGCAUUGUGAAGGGAGGAGGAGGGUCUGAGAUCCGGGAGCCCUGCAGAGAGUUUGCUGAAGAGUGAAGAAAGGACGGCGUUAGUAAUGGGAUGAGGGAUACUGGAGUCCGAAUUAACAUAGCACACAGAGAGAUAUUCAGGAAAAUACAUCAUAUCUUGCACUUGGGUGGAAAAGAGCAGAAAUCCUUGGUUAACAGGAUUAUACGCAAUGGUGCAGAAAGCAUUCUCUAAAGAAAAAUCAGAGAGGAAGAAACACUGCAUGGAGAAUCCAAGAAACACUCUAAGAAUUGAAGUUAAAAUGUCGGAGGAGGCCUCGUAUGUCUUCUUCUAGGAGGACUCUCAGCUGAUGUUGGUUUUUUUAGUCUGUAUGAGCGAUGGACAAGCUGUCACUACCCAUUAGAUUUUGGGUGGUCCCAGGGGACCAUCCCAAGUUUGAGGAAAGUUGGCAAUGGAAAAAGGAGCAUCUGAUAGGAGCAGUCAGUGAAGUCCUUGGACAGCUACAAGAUAAAAGGACACAUGUCUCUCCAGGUGGCCUCCCUCACCUUGACAGUGUGAAUUAACAGCUUAUCUUCAUGGACAUGGGACAAGAGGAGACUGGAAAUCAUCUCCCACACCACCCUCUCCAAGACAAAUUCAUAUUUAACUUCUACUUCUGCUCUGUUGACUUUAUCCUAUGUAAAGUACAGAUUUACUGAGCACGAGACAAAUGCAUAACUGACUAUUUCUUUACCCUCUC